GAUGAACGCUGGCGGCGUGCCUAAUACAUGCAAGUCGAGCGAACAGACGCGGAGCUUGCUCCUCUGACGUUAGCGGCGCACGUGUGUGUAACACGUGUAUAACCUACCUAUAAUACUGGUAUAACUUCGGAAAACCGGAUCUAAUACCAUAUAAUCUCUUGAACCGCAUGGUUCAAUAGUGAAUGACGGUUUUGCUGUCACUUCUAGAUGGAUCCGCGCCGCAUUAGCUAGUUGGUAAGGUAACGGCUUACCAAGGCGACGAUGCGUAGCCGACCUGAGAGGGGGAUCGGCGACCCUGGAAGUGAAACGCGGUCAAGAGUACUAAGGGAGGGAGCAGUAGGGAAUGUGCGGCAAUGGGGGGAAGCAUGACGGAGCAGCGCCGAGUGAGUGAUGAAAGUCUUCGGAUCGUAAAACUCUGUUAUUGGGGAAGAACAAAUGUGUAAGGAACUAAGCACGUCUUGACGGUACCUAGUCAGAAAGCAACGGCUAACUACGUG
rnacentral:rRNA from 1 species